AGUUUUGAGCUAAAUAUAUUAUAAUAUUAGUUAUUUAUAAAGGUGUUGUAAAACCUUAUUAAAAAUUAUAUUUAGGGGUGAUAGGCCUUUCAAAAACUAAGAUAUCUUGAAUCUAAUUAAAAGUAUGUAGUACAUUCGACACAACUAUUAAGUGAUUAGGCUUUAUAGAAUUAUUAACUUAUAAAGAUUUUAUUUACUAUAAUUUAAUAAUUAAGUAUGUAAAUAUAUUAAUAUAUAUAUAUUAUAAUUUAUAAAGAGUAAUUAGAUAAAUUAAAGUUCAAAAAUUUUGUAAUAAUGUUAAUAUUAGUAUUAAGUUUAUAUUUAUAUGAUGAACUCGGCAAAAAUGCUUCUCAACUGUUUAUCAAAAACAUAACUAUGUGAAUUAAUACAUAGCGGUUUCUGCUCAA
rnacentral:rRNA from 1 species